CCGAGCCGGCCUAGAUUUCUUAUGCGGACGCCAUCUCUAUAAUUUCGUGUUCAAUGGCGAGUUUCAUAGUGAAUGCAAGAAACGCAUCUAUGGAGUGGCAGUACCCGUGGUUUGAAGUUUCCUGUCUGGCUGUCUCUAUGCUCUGGCUAUCCUCCAUGUUCCUGCUCCAAUUUUCAUUCGAGUCAUAUGCACGAAGAGUUAGGCUUUCGAAAUCCGUCAACUGUCAAAUGACAAGUAGUAGCAGCAGCAGCAGUAGUAGUUGUAGUAGCAGUAGUAGCUGAGGGCAGGUGGUAGGUGAGAGAAUCACAAUGGCAGCCGAAAUCAAGCCCGCGCCCGGGAUGAACCAGGACAAGUUCAGCUCCAAGAAGCCUAUACUUCUGUCAAAGCUCGAGGGUUGCAAUGACGACGUCAAUGCCGCCGUUAUCAUUCCCAGGGUUGACGGCGUCAUCAGCGUCUGCGACGACAGAACUGUCAAAGUUUGGUUGAAACGUGACUCAGGACAAUACUGGCCAAGCGUAUGCAUGUACAUGGUUGCAGCACCAACCUCUCUUGAUUUUUGUCCUGAAACCAGACAGCUGUUUGUUGGAUUAGAUAAUGGCAGUAUAAAUGAGUUUUUAUUGGAAAGCGAUUACAAUCGUAUGACAGCCAUUCGAGAAUACAUGGCUCAUCAAGCAAGAGUUGCUGCAGUAGUUUUUUCUUUGAGCUGUGAAUGGGUACUUAGUAUAGGUAGAGACAAAUUGUUCCAGUUCCACAGUACUGAAAAUGGAAAGGAUCACAUCAAAUAAUAUGUUCAAUAAUCCAAAAGGUAACGUCUACAAAAAGUUGCUGUACCACAUGCAUGGAACAUACACCUACAACAUGGUGAGCAUUAUUAAUUUUAAAAAUGGUUCAAUUUCUGGCAUUCGAUCAAUCUUGGUAGUUGCUACAUUAUUUUGUAUUAUUUUCAUCAAUUUCACGCUUUCAUCAAUGGCUUUUUGUAAGCCAUCGCCAUCAUCUACUUUUCGUUUCCGACAAAAUUUAUAGUGUCAAGACCAAGCAAUAAGAUGCAUAACAUGAAAAGGUUAGAUAGGUUAGAAAUAAUCAACUACAAGAGGUUUUAUUUUAUUAUUUUAAAUUUAUUAAUAAUCAUAUGUUAAAUCAUUAUCAGAUGUUUAAACGUGAGAAAACAACCUAACAUCUCGAAUAAUAUUUUUGGCAUCAUCCCACAGGUGUCUACUGGUGAAACAUGCAGCAUGCCAUUUUUCAACGAGCUCCUUUGUCGCAAUAGGAGUUGAAGACGAUUUAAGUUCCCUCAAGAAUGCCCUCAAUUUUCUCAAGGGAACAUUUAUUACAUUCAGCAUUAUUUGAUAUGCGAUUAUCGUCCUCAAUCGUGCCCAGGACUCUACAUGUGCUUCCUCCAAUUGUAUUAAUUUCUUCCAUUAUCUUUUUUAAUACUAAUCUAUGGCUGAUUAUAUUGAUGUCAAUGUCAAUUAUACCUUCAUUCUCGUUGGAAAACCACAGAAUGAAAUUAUGACUUCUCAUAUUUUCCAAACUGAGAUUGACAACACGAAAAGCUACUGGUACGUAGCGACGAAAAUCAUUUUGCAUGAUGUACUGAAUGGUGAAUUUCAUUUUCACGUUAAGUUUUUCUUCUUCAAAUGGCUUUGAAUGUAAAACAUUUUUCACAGAUAGGUUAUUCAUUA